rnacentral:lncRNA from 1 species
CAUGAGUCAGAGAAGGGAACAUUUGAGUUGGGUGCUGAAGGCAUGUGAGCUCUGGAAGCCCAGCCAGGGGCAGAGGCCCUUACCAGAAUUCUAUACUAAUCUGAUGGCUGAAGACCUAAGGUUUGGAAUCUCCCCAUCCAGACUGUUGGGGUACCAAGGAUAUACCCUGGUAAUGUUCCCUGAUAUUUCAUCGUCAGGCUGUGACAAGUGGAAAGCAAGCCCUUUCUCCCUGGUUGCUACGGAUUUUGAUGAUACAAAGAAUGUUCUCCAUCUGAUGCUGGACAGACCCCAGGAGCUUACAUAGUUCUUGUAUUAAUCUAUAUCAACAGCUGUCAACUCAUUGGGCAAAAUGUUAGGUGAAAAUUUGAGAUACUUUUGUAUUAAGUAGAUACUAUUCCUUAUAUUUUGCUUUCUGCAAGUACCUGGUUUUAUAAAAAAAACCCGAUAAAGUAUUUUAAAACAACAACAACAAACACCUUAAUAUAUCAUCAAAAAUUACAUCAGUCUAACUACUGAAGAGGCUGAGGCAGGAAGAUCAUAAGUUUGAGGUCAGCCUGGGCAACUUACUGAGAUACUAUCUCAAAAUAAAAUUAAAUAAUAAAUAAGUAAGUAAUGCAGGGGAUGUAGCUCAGUGCAAGACCCUGGGUUUAAUCCCUAUUAAUGAAAAACAACCCCCCAACUCAUAUCAACACAUACUUAUAUUUACAACACUUUUUCAAAUUGUGAACCACCUCUAGGGGUGGGGAAGGAGGCAUUAACACAGGGCGAAGUGCUUUUUACUCUUUACUCGAUAGUAUC